rnacentral:lncRNA from 1 species
CAACACCCCAGAAAAGAAGACUUGCAGCCUCACUUCAGGUCAAUUUGCAAGAACUGACAUCACACAGCAGGAAUUUGAAGAAUCUCCAGGAGGGCCAGAGAGUAGACUUGGAUGCCACCCAGCCAGAAAUAGAGAAGUUGGGACCACCCAGCCAGGGACAAGGCCACACCUCAGACAUCACCACCCACAAGCAACGCAGCAUGUAUGAGCUGGGACAGGACACCAGAAACUACCUCAUGAUUGCUCCGGAAGAAGCAGCUGCAGGUGCUCAGC